rnacentral:rRNA from 1 species
GAACGAACGCUGGCGGCGUGGAUAAGACAUGCAAGUCGAGCGAUUAUCACAGGGUAGCAAUAUUCUGUGGUGAGAGCGGCGCAAGGGUGCGUAACACGUGGGUAAUCUGCCAUGAAGUUUGGGAUAAUCCCGCGAAAGCGGGACUAAUACCGGAUGUGAACGUCGGGAGGCCUCUCCCGGGGUUUAAAGCUGGGGACCGUAAGGCCUGGCGCUUCAUGAUGAGCCCGCGGCCUAUCAGCUAGUUGGUGAGGUAACGGCUCACCAAGGCCAAGACGGGUAGCUGGUCUGAGAGGACGACCAGCCACACUGGAACUGAGACACGGUCCAGACACCUACGGGUGGCAGCAGUCGAGAAUUUUUCACAAUGGGGGAAACCCUGAUGGAGCGACGCCGCGUGGGGGAUGAAUGGCUUCGGCCCGUAAACCCCUGUCAUUCGCGAUCAAUGCGCAUUAUUUAAAAGAUGAUGCGUUGAUAGUAGCGGAAGAGGAAGGGACGGCUAA